CUUGGGAGAUUGCAAGGCUUCAACACUGAACUACAUUUGAGUAUACUAGCUAUCUCUCAAGCUCUCAGAAAGUUCAGGCUAAAUCUCUCUAACUCUUCCACUUAUAGGUCUCUUGAUUCCCUCUUUACAUUUUUAGCAUUUGUUUAUCAAUAUGGUUAAUAUGCAAACUCCAAGAUCUCCUCUUCAACGUCCAGCUCAUGGAAACCAAAUCACUGUCCUUAGCAUCGAUGGAGGUGGAAUAAGAGGCAUUAUACCAGGAACUAUCCUUGCCUUUUUAGAGUCUGAGCUUCAGAAGCUGGAUGGUGCAGAUGCAAGGCUUGCAGACUACUUUGAUGUGAUUUCAGGGACUAGCACUGGUGGACUCGUGACUGCUAUGCUAGCUGCACCGAAUAAGCAAAACCGCCCUUUGUUUGCUGCUAAAGACAUUAAUGAAUUCUACCUUGAGAACUGCCCUAAAAUAUUUCCUCAAGACAGCUCUCCAUUUUCUUCAGUUGCAAAUCUGGUAAACACUUUGAGAGGGCCAAAGUAUGAUGGCAACUUCUUGCAUAGUAUUGUCAAAGAAAAGUUGGGAGAUACACGGUUGCACCAGACAUUGACAAAUAUUGUGAUCCCAACUUUUGACAUCAAGCGCCUCCAGCCAACUAUCUUUUCUAGCUAUAAGGUGAAGAAUAACCCAUUAACGGAUGCCCUUCUGUCCGAUAUAUGCAUUGGAACAUCAGCUGCCCCGACUUAUCUCCCUGCCCAUUAUUUUGAAACCAAAGAUCCAUCAGGCAAAGUUAGAGAAUUUAAUCUUAUUGAUGGUGGUGUCGCAGCAAACAAUCCAACUUUAGUUGCCAUAAGUGAAGUUUCAAAAGCAAUCAAUCGGGAGAGUCCUGACUUUUUCCGUAUAAACGCAAUGGAAUAUGGCCGAUUUCUAGUCCUGUCGUUGGGCACUGGUACGGCAAAAUCAGAAGGAAAGUAUGACGCAGAUGAAGCAGCCAAGUGGGGUAUCUUAGGAUGGUUGACUAGUGAUCAUUCUACUCCACUAGUGGAUGUGUUUACACAAGCUAGUGGUGACAUGGUUGAUUUUCAUAUUUCCACUGUUUUUCAAGCCCUUAACUCUGAAGAAAAUUAUCUUCGAAUUCAGGAUGAUACAUUGACUGGAACACUUUCAUCUGUGGAUGUUGCUACAAAAGAGAAUUUGGAGAAUCUUGUGAAAGUGGGUGAGGAAUUGUUGAAGAAGCAAGUUUCAAGGGUGAAUUUGGCUACUGGAGUCUUUGAACCUAUCAAUAAGAUGACUAAUGAAGAGGCUCUCAGAAAGUAUAAAUGAAUGAAUAAUACUCCUUGUUUCAUCUUGAUUAUUCUUUUAUUUAUUUAUUUCUUAAGUUUUUGUUUUGUUGGUGUAGGUUGGCUAAAUUACUCUCGAGGGAGAAGCAUCUUCGUGAGGCUAAGUCAGCUGUUGGAAAUUAAAGCUACUACUCCAAAAUGGACAUGAUUCAUAAAUAAUUUGACUAUUCAUUUGUUGUUUUAUUAUUGAAAAUUAAAUUAUUAGAGGCAAAUAAAAUUUGGAAGAACUAAUUUUUCACUUUGUAAGAUAGUCUUCAAAUAAAGAUGCUAUGCACAUAGUAUCCAAGAUUUGUAAUUUUUUUUUUCCUACACAUGCAAUGCAAUUGUUUCAUACCUUGAAUAUAUUGAAUCAUAGAAUUCAACCAGACUUUAAAUAUUUUCUUUUCCCAGCAAAA